rnacentral:piRNA from 1 species
UGAAGAUAUUCUAAAGAGACACUUGUGCCCC